rnacentral:rRNA from 1 species
GAUGAACGCUGACAGAAUGCUUAACACAUGCAAGUCUACUUGAUCCUUCGGGUGAAGGUGGCGGACGGGUGAGUAACGCGUAAAGAACUUGCCUUACAGACUGGGACAACAUUUGGAAACGAAUGCUAAUACCGGAUAUUAUGAUUGGGUCGCAUGAUCUGGUUAUGAAAGCUAUAUGCGCUGUGAGAGAGCUUUGCGUCCCAUUAGUUAGUUGGUGAGGUAACGGCUCACCAAGACGAUGAUGGGUAGCCGGCCUGAGAGGGUGAACGGCCACAAGGGGACUGAGACACGGCCCUUACUCCUACGGGAGGCAGCAGUGGGGAAUAUUGGACAAUGGACCAAAAGUCUGAUCCAGCAAUUCUGUGUGCACGAUGAAGUUUUUCGGAAUGUAAAGUGCUUUCAGUUGGGAAGAAGUCAGUGACGGUACCAACAGGAGAAGCGACGGCUAAAUACGUGCCAGCAGCCGCGGUAAUACGUAUGUCGCAAGCGUUAUCCGGAUUUAUUGGGCGUAAAGCGCGUCUAGGCGGCUUAGUAAGUCUGAUGUGAAAAUGCGGGGCUCAACCCCGUAUUGCGUUGGAAACUGCUAAACUAGAGUACUGGAGAGGUAGGCGGAACUACAAGUGUAGAGGUGAAAUUCGUAGAUAUUUGUAGGAAUGCCGAUGGGGAAGCCAGCCUACUGGACAGAUACUGACGCUAAAGCGCGAAAGCGUGGGUAGCAAACAGG